UACGGGGGGGGCAAGCGUUGUUCGGAAUUACUGGGCGUAAAGGGCGCGUAGGCGGCCUUCUAAGUCAGACGUGAAAUCCCUCGGCUCAACCGAGGAACUGCGUCUGAUACUGGAGGGCUUGAAUUCGGGAGAGGGAUGCGGAAUUCCAGGUGUAGCGGUGAAAUGCGUAGAUAUCUGGAGGAACACCGGUGGCGAAGGCGGCAUCCUGGACCGAUAUUGACGCUGAGGCGCGAAAGCCAGGGGAGCAAACGGG
rnacentral:rRNA from 1 species